GGUGCUUUUCACGGUGUCGUUCCCAGGCUGGUCCAUCGCUGCUAGUGACCCUGCUGAGAGCGUUGCUGCAGAAGGAGCUCAACCCUCGUGGCGGUUUGAAAGCACCUGUGGCUCUUUGCCAUGUCCUUCGCAGGCUACCUGCUGCUGCUUUUGCAGGUGUCCUGUCUUGCAGCAGAAAUGACAGAGCUCUGGGCAGAGGAAGGAUCCUCUGUCACGAUGCACGCACCGGCUAUCAGGAACAUCAGCUUGGCCGAGUGGGAAUACAUAAGAGAGAACAUCCCCGAAUUAAUCCUGCAGUACUACGCAGAGUCGCAGUCAGUAACCAUUGACCCAGCUUACAAAGGCAGAGUGGUUUUCUACGAAAACAACGGCUCCCUUGUCCUGCAGAAGCUGCGAGAGAUGGACAGUGGCAUCUAUAAAGCAACAGUUAACUUGAUGCAGGACAAAGCAACAACAACCACUCUUAGAGUGCUCAGUAAGUCAAAAUUGGUUGAAAGGAUGUUUUUCUCUGACCAUCAGUAGGAUUUGCCAUCAGUAGGGUGCACAGUUAUGCCUCCCCCUAAGUGGACUAGAGGAGGACUUUCUGGUUUCAUUACUGCCUUGAACGACAUGGACUGGAGACCCCAGAAGAAUUGCUGGGAAAUGUUGUAAUGUAUUCUGAGACUGAAUCUGGCUGUGGGUUGAGAUCUGGGUUGGGAAUCCAGGUGGCUCAGUGCCUCCAUUCUUGUACCUGCUUACUUCACCACAACCAGCUGCUCAUAGGCGGUGAAUGUCAUAAAAUGCCCUCCAGAGACAGGAUUUCUCACCAGGCUUUGCAGCCUCUCCCUUCACACCAGUAUUACCUUCCCCCUUUCCCUGCAGGACAAACAGAAACAAGAGCUCACCCUGGUUUGCAUUGCCCUUUCCUAGAGCUCAGCAGCACUGCAGGAGCACCCUGCAUGUAGGACAUCCAGGGAAGGAAGACUUCAGGAGCAUGUGGUUGCUACCAGGUGGAGGUCCAGAUGUAGCUAAGAGCAACCCCAAAUGGUGCAGGCACCCAGGUGCUAGCUGAGGGAUGGACUCUGACAUCCUUUUGCCGUGGCAUGGCUCUUCAGCAUUGCUCCUCUGGGCUUUGGUCCAUCUGGGGUUUGACCAGUGUAAAUGGUCAUAAUAACAGAAUCACAGAAUGGUUUGGAUUGGAAGGGACCUUACAGCCCACCCCUUUCCAACCCCCUGUCAUGGGCAGUGAUUCCUCCCACCAGCCCAAGCUGCCCCCAGCCCCAUCUGAGCUGGCCUUGGGCACCUCCAGGGAUGGGGCACCCAUAGCUUGUCCUGACAGCCUGUGCCAGUGCCUCAAUACCCUCGUUAUAAAGAUUUUUUUCCUUGUAUCUAAUCUAAACCUACCCUUUUUUAGUUUAAAGCCCUUACCCCUUGUCCCAUCACUCCACUCCCUGGCAAAGAGUCCCUCCCCAGCUUCCCUGUAGCCCCCUUUAGGUACUGGAAGGUUGGUAAAAGGUCCCCCCAGAGCCUUCUCUUCUCCCAGCUGAACACCCCCAACUCUCUCAGCCUGUUUCCAUAGCAGAGGUGCUCCAGCCCCCUGAUCAUCUCUGUUGUGGCCCUCCUCUGGACUCUUCUGAUACGUCCAUGUCCUUGUGCCAGAGCACCCCUCCACCCCA
rnacentral:lncRNA from 1 species